rnacentral:rRNA from 1 species
AAACUUUCAACAACGGAUCUCUUGGUUCUGGCAUCGAUGAAGAGCGCAGCGAAAUGCGAUAAGUAAUGUGAAUUGCAGAAUUCAGUGAAUCAUCGAAUCUUUGAACGCACAUUGCGCCCCUUGGUAUUCCGAGGGGCAUGCCUGUUCGAGCGUCAUU